UUAUGGCGGCCGUGGAGUAGGAGAGGCUGGGAGCGGGAUACUUGGUGCUGGAACCGGAGCCCAAGCCAGAGCCCAAGACAGAGAGCGGCUGCAACGAGAAGCGGGUGGUGUUUCUCUUCGUAUACUGGGGCCACAUCCCGCCGCUCUUCCGGCCUGUGCGCGUGCGCAACGGGCUUGGCACCACUGGCGCGGUCCGGCGACUUUUCUGUUAGCCCGUGGGUGGUGCGCGCGGCGCAGGGAGAGGACCUUCAGGAAGCAACGGCCCACGUAGAAUAAGGAAUACGCCCAGGGGAGGGGCCAUGGUCGCCCGCGAGCGCGGGCCUUUUCCGGGAAGGCUUGGAGGAAGUGCCUGCACCUGCUCGGCGUGGCCUGGGAGCUCGCCAGAGUCCAGCCUCUGCCCCGGAGUCCUAGGGACGCGUUUGGGUGGCCGGACAGGGCCCCGAGCGCCCGGCACCGGCCUGGCCUACUAACGCCUGCCCUUCAUAGAGCUGCGGGGAAAUUGUCGUUUUUUGAUUGAUCAGUUUCUGAUGCGGUGGACUUCACACCUUACGGAGCCAUAUCGCACUAUGGAUGCCUACAGAUGAAGGUGUCCACUGCUAACAUCGAGGAAGCAGGAAGGACUCACCAAGCAAUGAUGCAUGAAAUUGCUAUGCCCAAUUAAUAUCCUCGCAGAUACUUUUUGGAACCAUGGGAUAAUGUUUGCUGGCCUGAUGUUAAGCUCCGUCAUGGAGGACACUGGAACGCAUUGCAGCGAGAAGGGGUUCUCCUUCCAGGCUGCAGGUGCUCCUCCCCGGGGGGCUCAUGCCGGCCCCACUCCCGCCGGGCUGCAGCUUCUCUGGCCCCCACUCCGGUAGCUCAGGACAGCUAGCAGCACCUGCCCAGGCAGUUUGGUGGCAGUUUGGUGGCAGAAUGUCUCCAGCGGGACACCUCCCCGUGAAGAACUUGCCCCCUGCACAUUGGAGGGCAGACCAAGGGAUUUCUUGGCCAUUCGGUGAGCCGCGGCUGUGCCCUCUCCAACACGGUCUGAAUCUCAGCUGGGCGGGGAAGGGGGACAGGAUCUCUUCCCUUGAAAACUCCACUUCAGCUCUACCAAUAUCAGCCCUACCCAUCCCUAUACUCUUUAGAGUUCUGUUUACCUCCUUCCAGCCUAUGUCUUGUUAUAGUUAAUAAUUUGAUAUAUUAAACUUACCCUGUUCAAAUUUUUUAUCAGGUUUCUGUCUCUUAAUAAGACUCUCGCUGAUAAUGAAUGAAUAAAUGGAACUUCAAUAUUCCAAACUAUUCCCAGAAGUUUGUAUGUUGCCUAUAAGAUGAAUGACCCAAAUUUUUAAAAAUGACUGUGUGUUAAAUAGCUAUACUCUUAUCUAUGAUGAAUUAAAUGGAGGGGCACCUGGGUGGCUCAGUUGGUUAAGCAUCUGCCUUGGGCUUGGGUCAUGUUUCCAGGGUCCUGGGAUUGAGUCCCUCAUUGGGCUCCCUGCUCGGCUGGAAGUCUGCUUCUCCCUCUCCCUCUGCUGCUCCCCCUGCUUGUGCUCUCUCUCUCUCUUCUUCUCAAAUGAAUAAAUAAAAAUCUUUAACUGUUGAAUCACAGACCUGUACCUCUGAAACAAAUAAUACAUUAUAUGUUAAAAAAAAGAAGACGAUAGUAGGAAGGGAAAAAUGAAGGGGGGGGAAUCGGAGGGGGA